rnacentral:lncRNA from 1 species
CUGAAUUAGUGUACAUGCACAAAAGAUAUGUGCUAGCUCUUGGAUUGGCUCCAGAAUGCAACCCGUGUUAAUGACAAUCAUGCGGCGUCAUAGUUGGGAGAGGAAGUGCUAGACAGGUCGAAACUGAGACAAUGCAAUCAGCAACUAGAAGUCAUCGACGGAUCAGCACAUUGACAUUCAAAUCUACGAUCAGAAAACGAAAUAGAGAAAACAAUCCAAUCUGAGGUGGACUAGGAAAACUCUAGGCGGUCAUUGAUCCACAUGAAGCCCAUUUUGAACAUGGGAACGAUUGAUACUAUAGAACCGUACAACUGCCAAUGGAUCGAGUAGUUUUGCAUUUUGGAGAUGCCAAUUCAAGUAGUAUUGGGUUUGAGGAGAAACAAACUCCUUAAACUGUUGUUACCCCCGAAAGCAGAAUAUUGGAUGUGUAUUCAUUAGGUGCAUCAUCUCUCUAAUUGCUCAUUUGGGUAUGGGUACGCAUAGGUACAUGAUCACUCUGAUUGCU